rnacentral:rRNA from 1 species
GGACGCUCAUGAGGGUUUCGGCCCUUGUGGGAGUGGCGGACGGGUGAGUAGCGCGUGGGAACCUGCCUUGGAGUGGGGGAUAACCGAGGGAAACUUCGGCUAAUACCGCAUGCGCCCCCGUGCAAGCGGGGGGAAAGAUUUAUCGCAGCAGGAGGGGCCCGCGUCGGAUUAGGUAGUUGGUGGGGUAACGGCCUACCAAGCCUGUGAUCCGUAGCUGGUCUGAGAGGAUGAUCAGCCACACUGGGACUGAGACACGGCCCAGACUCCUACGGGAGGCAGCAGUGGGGAAUAUUGGACAAUGGGCGCAAGCCUGAUCCAGCAAUGCCGCGUGAGUGAUGAAGGCCUUAGGGUUGUAAAGCUCUUUCGGCGGGGACGAUGAUGACGGUACCCGCAGAAGAAGCCCCGGCUAACUUCGUG